rnacentral:rRNA from 1 species
GAUGAACGCUGGCGGCGUGCUUAACACAUGCAAGUCGAACGGUGAAAGAGAGCUUGCUCUCUGGAUCAGUGGCGAACGGGUGAGUAACACGUGAGCAAUCUGCCCCUGACUCUGGGAUAAGCGCUGGAAACGGCGUCUAAUACCGGAUACGAGCUGCGAAGGCAUCUUCAGCAGCUGGAAAGAACUUCGGUCAGGGAUGAGCUCGCGGCCUAUCAGCUAGUUGGUGAGGUAAUGGCUCACCAAGGCGUCGACGGGUAGCCGGCCUGAGAGGGUGACCGGCCACACUGGGACUGAGACACGGCCCAGACUCCUACGGGAGGCAGCAGUGGGGAAUAUUGCACAAUGGGGGCAAGCCUGAUGCAGCAACGCCGCGUGAGGGACGACGGCCUUCGGGUUGUAAACCUCUUUUAGCAGGGAAGAAGCGAAAGUGACGGUACCUGCAGAAAAAGCACCGGCUAACUACGUGCCAGCCGCCGCGGUAAGAC